UCUCAUGCAAACACGAAUUACGUAUUAAAAAAUCAUUGAACAAAGAAUCUAAAAUGUCCGUUUGCUGUUUUUGCAUCAACUGUGGCGUCAUCGCCAUCAUUUCAAAUCACAGCAACCUCAAGACAAAAGAACUUCACGACAAGUUGACUGAAUUUCUACCAAAAAGUGUUCACUUGUUCGUGAUGAUUUAAAUUCCAACAACUUACCCAGAUCGAAUACACUGAAGCAGAACAUGACAGAAAACCUCCAACUCAAAGCCAUUUUUGUGAAAAACUUUUCAAACGAAGAGAAUGGUGAAGUAAAAACGUGGAAACGAUGGACGUGGAAUGAAGCGGGAAUCCUUGCAAUGGUCUUAUAUUAAAUAAAUCUGUGUGGGCAGCAAACGUCCGUUUAAUAUCAUUAAUCAUGUCUUGAAAUGACAGGUGUUAGUUUACACGUGACUCUUGGAUUAAGUGCGACGACGAUAAAAUAACGCACAUUACUGAGGAAGAUGUUUUGAAAUUAUCCGGGGGAGGUGACUGGCAUUGUGCAUAUAUGUUGCUAUACGGGCGGAGAAGACUAGAAAUCAUUAAAGAAUCUUCGUGAUCACGUGAUCUUAAGAAGAAGUGGAUUUUAUACCUUUAAAGAAUGCGGUAUUGUGCCGAUAUGUCUAUGGGUUGAUAUCAUCUUAAAAUCUCCUGUUGAGUAAUUUGUUUCAAAUCAACACUGCAGUAUUUUCUUCAGUGUCAUCGCGACAGUUAAAUUUAUACGCUAGCCAAUUGACAAUUGUCAAAAAAAGAUUUGUAUUUUAAAGAUUUGAUUAUUUGUAC